GACGAGUCUCACGAACGUUAUUCGGAAUUACUGGGCGUAAAGGGCGCGUAGGCGGCCCGCUAAGUCGAACGUGAAAUCCCUGGGCUCAACCCAGGAACUGCGUCCGAUACUGGUGGGCUUGAAUCCGGGAGAGGGAUGUGGAAUUCCAGGUGUAGCGGUGAAAUGCGUAGAUAUCUGGAGGAACACCGGUGGCGAAGGCGACAUCCUGGACCGGUAUUGACGCUGAGGCGCGAAAGCCAGGGGAGCAAACGGG
rnacentral:rRNA from 1 species